GUCCACGCUGUAAACGAUGUCAACUAGCCGUUGGUCCUAUUUACAGGAUUAGUGGCGCAGCUAACGCAUUAAGUUGACCGCCUGGGGAGUACGGCCGCAAGGUUAAAACUCAAAUGAAUUGACGGGGGCCCCGCACAAGCGGUGGAGCAUGUGGUUUAAUUCGAUGCAACGCGAAGAACCUUACCUACCCUUGACAUCCAGAGAAUCUGUUAGAGAUAGUGGAGUGCCUUCGGGAACUCUGAGACAGGUGCUGCAUGGCUGUCGU
rnacentral:rRNA from 1 species